AGAGUUGAUCCUGGCUUAGGAUGAACGCUAGCGACAGGCUUAACACAUGCAAGUCGAGGGGCAGCAUAGAAGUAGCAAUACUCGGUGGCGACCGGCGCACGGGUGAGUAACGCGUAUGCAACCUACCUAUCAGGAGGGGAAUAACCCGGCGAAAGUCGGACUAAUACCGCAUAAAACAGGGGCACCGCAUGGUGAUAUUUGUUAAAGAAAUUCGCUGAUAGAUGGGCAUGCGUUCCAUUAGGUAGUUGGUGAGGUAACGGCUCACCAAGCCGACGAUGGAUAGGGGAACUGAGAGGUUGGUCCCCCACACUGGUACUGAGACACGGACCAGACUCCUACGGGAGGCAGCAGUGAGGAAUAUUGGUCAAUGGGCGGGAGCCUGAACCAGCCAAGUCGCGUGGAAAAGGAAGAAGGAUCUAUGGUUCGUAAACUUCUUUUGCAGGGGAAUAAAGUGCAGGACGUGUCCUGUUUUGUAUGUACCCUGAGAAUAAGGAUCGGCUAACUCCGUGCCAGCAGCCGC
rnacentral:rRNA from 1 species